CCUUCAGUGAACUGCGGAGGACAUUAACAAGUUUGGACGGAGGUUGUCGCUGGCCCUCAGGGGCAUGUGCACGCCUCCACUCUCACUUCAUCUCUCACACCUGUGCACCCUUGCGUGGGCCCACUGACCCCUUCACGGGGGCCCUAUGGGCCUGCGUUCUUUUUCACAAACCCCCCAUGUAUGUCUUCAGAAUGUCGAAUGCUAUAAACGCAUCUUAUACAACUUUCAACAACGGAUCUCUUGGCUCUCGCAUCGAUGAAGAACGCAGCGAAAUGCGAUAAGUAAUGUGAAUUGCAGAAUUCAGUGAAUCAUCGAAUCUUUGAACGCACCUUGCGCCCCUUGGUAUUCCGAGGGGCACGCCUGUCUGAGUGUCGUUAUAUUCUCAACCAAGGCCUCCUUUCGAGGUCGGACCUUGGCUUGGACUUGGAGGCUCUUGCCGGCCUUUGACCCUUCGGGGCGGGUCGGCUCCUCUUGAAUGCAUUAGUGUGACCCUCUCGCGGUCGUCCGCCUCUGGCUUGAUAAUUGUCUAUGCCGUUGGUGUGUCGGUCCGUGGGCUCAUGUGGGCCUCGCUUCUAACCGUCCUCUCGGGGACAGCUCCAUCUACACUUGACCUCAGAUCAGGCGGGACUACCCGCUGAACUUAAGCUUUAAA
rnacentral:rRNA from 1 species